AGAUUGAACGCUGGCGGCAUGCUUUACACAUGCAAGUCGAACGGUAACAGGCCGCAAGGUGCUGACGAGUGGCGAACGGGUGAGUAAUGCAUCGGAACGUGCCCAGUCGUGGGGGGAUAACGCAGCGAAAGCUGUGCUAAUACCGCAUACGAUCUAUGAAUGAAAGCGGGGGACCGAAAGGCCUCGCGCGAUUGGAGCGGCCGAUGUCAGAUUAGCUAGUGGUGGGUAAAGGCCCACCAAGGCGACGAUCUGUAGCUGGUCUGAGAGGACGACCAGCCACACUGGAACUGAGACACGGUCCAGACUCCUACGGGAGGCAGCAGUGGGGAAUUUUGGACAAGUGGGCGCAAGCCUGAUCCAGCAAUGCCGCGUGCAGAGAAGGUCCGUUCGGUUGUAAACUGCGUUUUAGACGGUAACGAACGGUACGUUACGGUUAAGUUACCUACGGUCCUAAA
rnacentral:rRNA from 1 species